rnacentral:rRNA from 1 species
UACGUAGGCAGCGAGCGUUGUUCGGAGUUACUGGGCGUAAAGGGCGCGUAGGCGGUCCGAUAAGUCCUGUGUGAAAUCCCUCGGCUCAACUGAGGAACUGCACGGGAGACUGUCGGGCUUGAGUUCGGGAGAGGGAAGCGGAAUUCCGGGUGUAGCGGUGAAAUGCGUAGAUAUCCGGAGGAACACCGGUGGCGAAGGCGGCUUCCUGGACCGACACUGACGCUGAGGAGCGAAAGCCAGGGGAGCAAACGGG